ensembl:antisense Gm26771 predicted gene, 26771
ACAUCCUCAGGACCCGUGCGGGGUCCCUGGCUCUCGCCCCGCGGGUACCUGCUCGAGCUGCGGGGCUACCUCCAGCACGGUCGCCGCUUUGAGCUCCGCCAUGAUCGUCGCCGCGUCGGAUCCCCGCCGGGAGAGUGUAGCAGAGUCCGCGUUGGAGCCGAGCUGACGGUGGCCUGGCUGUGGCUGCAGUGGUACCUCCUCCGGAGCCCAGGUCACCAUGCACUGCGCACCUCCCUAGCGUAGUGAGGGACUCCUCAGCCUAAGGACGCGUGUCACGGGCACGUUCUGCGGGUCCUCCUACAUGAUGAAAGGUCCUGCGUCCCACCACGCCCUGUACUCUCUGCUGGAACCAGAGGUGACUGGGCUGGAGGAGGGUCCCGAACAGAACUUAAGUACGGAAGGACUUACCACAUUCAUAAUGGCUGCUCUUCUCUAAGAAUCUCCAGCAAUACACAGCAGGACUGUGAGGCACAGUUCAGAGUCCCGUUGAUACGUAACUGAAUUGCUGAGAUGGGCCAAUGAGAGCCUUCGAAGUCUCUGCUGUCUGCAGGAGCAGUGGCCACAAAUCUGGCUGAAAUGUGAGGUACAUGCUAAUGUAUGGGGAGACCAGUCUUAAAACACUGGAGUAGCUGGUAACUUCAACCUGCUGUGGGGAGGACUGGGCCUCCUGAGAAGGAAAUGACAGAGCUCCCUCCAAGGUCGUUGGUCAAAGGAGACAUGACAGAAGACAAAGAAUAGGUACAACAAGAUGUAAAGUUUAUAUACAAAGAAUAUAAUGUUUAUCUGAAAUAUUUACAGUGUCGGUUAAAGCAAUAUUUUUACAACUUUUCCAGGUCAACUACUACGUAUAUUACAGGGCAUCAUGCAAUGAGGAAUGGUUACUGUGUGCUUAUAAACUGAAGUUCUGUAGCUGGGAUGGGAACGCAUGCAAUGGUCAGAGCUCAUGAGGACAUAAAACAAGCAACGAAAUGUUUGAAGACUUAGAUGCCGAUUCUCAGGCUGGAACUGAGGAAGACUUUGAGAUAACAGCCAGCUUUAUCUCAACUAAGUCUGGGACCCACAAGCUUAGACCACAGAGGA